rnacentral:rRNA from 1 species
CGGGUGAGUAACGCGUGAGGAACCUGCCUCAAAGAGGGGGACAACAGUUGGAAACGACUGCUAAUACCGCAUAAGCCCACAGCUCGGCAUCGAGCAGAGGGAAAAGGAGUGAUCCGCUUUGAGAUGGCCUCGCGUCCGAUUAGCUAGUUGGUGAGGUAAUGGCCCACCAAGGCGACGAUCGGUAGCCGGACUGAGAGGUUGAACGGCCACAUUGGGACUGAGACACGGCCCAA